rnacentral:lncRNA from 1 species
GUACUGAGUUACCAUAGCUUGUUUCACCUGUGUGGUUUACUGGUCUGGAGAAGGACUGGGUGGUUUUCAAGGAAUGCCUCCUGAAAUCCAGUUCAUGAUUAUUCCGGAGCUCUGGUUAAUGAGAGAUAAUUCCAAGUUAUCAACAGGAGCAACAGCAUGUUCAUCCACUGAGUGUUGAGGAGGCGCCUGUUAGCAUUCUGAGCACCUGGGGUUAGCUCUAA